rnacentral:tRNA from 1 species
GGGGGUGUAGCUCAGCGGCAGAGCACUUGGCUAUGAUGCAGGAGGCCCAGUGUUCCAUCCCCA